UCUACGGGGGGCUGCAGUGGGGAAUAUUGCACAAUGGGGGAAACCCUGAUGCAGCAACGCCGCGUGAGCGAUGAAUGCCUUCGGGUCGUAAAGCUCUGUCCUAAGGGAAGAAUACUGACGGUACCUUAGGAGGAAGCCUCGCCUAACUACGUGCCAGCAGCCGCGGUAAUACGUAGCGGGCUAGCGUUAUCCGGAAUUACUGGGCGUAAAGGGCGCGUAGGCGGCACUUCAAGUCAGAGGUGAAAGGCUACGGCGAAACCGUAGUAAGCCUUUGAAACUGUAGGGCUUGAGUGUAGGAGAGGAGAGUGGAAUUCCCAGUGUAGUGGUGAAAUGCGUCGAUAUUGGAAGGAACACCAGUUGCGAAGGCGGCACUCUGGACUGUAACUGACGCUGAGGAACGAAAGCGUGGGGAGCGAACAGGAUUAGAUACCCCUGUAGUC
rnacentral:rRNA from 1 species